UAAGUAAGCGGAGGAAAAGAAACUAACUAGGAUUCCCUUAGUAAUGGCGAAUGAACAGGGAUCAGCUCAGUGCCUAAUCAGAAUCACUUGUGGUUCUGAAAUGUGGCUUGAAGGCAGUACCAGUGGCAACGCGGACGAAAGUCUCUUGGAAAAGAGCGUCAUAGAGGGUGAGAAUCCCGUGAGUCGUUUGCAGUUUGCCACGUACGGUCUGUGUUCUAACGAGUCGCGUUCCUUGGGAUUGGAGCGUAAACGGGUGGUAAAUUUCAUCCAAAGCAAAAUAUAUACUCGAGACCGAUAGCACAAAAGUACCGUGAGGAAAGGUGAAAAGAACUUUGAGAAGAGGGUUAAAUAGUGCCUGAAAUCGUUGAGAAGGAAGCGGAUGCCGCCGUUGCAUAUGCUGAUUGUAGGAUUGCUGCAUGCUUGUGUCUUCUGCUACUUAUACACAGACCUAGUCGUGUUGAGCAGUUGUUUGGCACUAGUGCGUGGUGUUUCCUGCUUUCAGCCGUCAGCAUCAUUGGCUGAGCGGAAAUAAUCCUUGGAUGCUAAUUGGUUCGCUAUGCGAAUUGGUUGCUUCUUUGCGAUACUCGCUGCUCGGUCAAUGAGGAAGUGCGUUUGAUGGUCAACGAGUUGUCUCACUGUCAUUACCCUGCGCUUUUCGAUUCGUCGAGUUGCCAGGAUGUGGCUCUAAGAUUGCUCGCACUUAGUAAUCGCGAUGCUGGCUUCCAACGGUUGCCUCCGGCCCGUCUUGAAACACGGACCAAGGAGUCUAACGUAUGUGCGAGUGUGUGAGUGGCAAACUUAUACGCGUAAUGAAAGUGAGCCUUAUGGCCAUGUUGGGGUCACCAACAACCGACCUUGAUCUUCGGUGAAAGGUUUGAGUAUGAGCAUAUCCGUUAGACCCGAAAGAUGGUGAACUAUGCCUGAGCAGGGUGAAGCCAGGGGAAACUCUGGUGGAGGCUCGUAGCGAUA
rnacentral:rRNA from 1 species